UUUUAUGGUGGUCAUGCGCAGGGCGCUUUCGAGCGCGCCGGUUUUCCUUGUGUCCCGGUCUACCAACCUGUGCAUGGCCGCCACCCAU
rnacentral:antisense_RNA from 1 species